AUUGAACGCUGGCGGCAGGCCUAACACAUGCAAGUCGAGCGGAAACGAGUUAUCUGAACCUUCGGGGAACGAUAACGGCGUCGAGCGGCGGACGGGUGAGUAAUGCCUAGGAAAUUGCCCUGAUGUGGGGGAUAACCAUUGGAAACGAUGGCUAAUACCGCAUGAUGCCUACGGGCCAAAGAGAGGGACCUUCGGGCCUCUCGCGUCAGGAUAUGCCUAGGUGGGAUUAGCUAGUUGGUGAGGUAAGGGCUCACCAAGGCGACGAUCCCUAGCUGGUCUGAGAGGAUGAUCAGCCACACUGGAACUGAGACACGGUCCAGACUCCUACGGGAGGCAGCAGUGGGGAAUAUUGCACAAUGGGCGCAAGCCUGAUGCAGCCAUGCCGCGUGUAUGAAGAAGGCCUUCGGGUUGUAAAGUACUUUCAGUCGUGAGGAAGGCGGCGUCGUUAAUAGCGGCGUUGUUUGACGUUAGCGACAGAAGAAGCACCGGCUAACUCCGUGCCAGCAGCCGCGGUAAUACGGAGGGUGCGAGCGUUAAUCGGAAUUACUGGGCGUAAAGCGCAUGCAGGUGGUUUGUUAAGUCAGAUGUGAAAGCCCGGGGCUCAACCUCGGAAUAGCAUUUGAAACUGGCAGACUAGAGUACUGUAGAGGGGGGUAGAAUUUCAGGUGUAGCGGUGAAAUGCGUAGAGAUCUGAAGGAAUACCGGUGGCGAAGGCGGCCCCCUGGACAGAUACUGACACUCAGAUGCGAAAGCGUGGGGAGCAAACAGG
rnacentral:rRNA from 1 species